AGCUGCGGCUGCAUUCAGUACCUGUCAACAUUUUCACGAUAAGUCGGGAUUGGGAUUAUGUGAAAUAGAGAAGCUCGGUCCAUGAAGUUCCCACCAGUCCAGGGUCCGGGGAAGUGUUGGAUUUUUUAGAGGUGUUUGGUCUUCCGUUAUUAUUAUCAUGUGCAAAGUUGAAGAAAAGCUACUUAGUACCAAACUUGUGCUGAGUUGUAUCAAUGAAUAUAAGAACAGAGGG